CUGUCUAGGGGAUGGCUGCUCUGCUUUUGCACCCUGCUCUAGGAGGAGGUGGAUGUGGAGUAGGAAGUUCAGAUGUCUUCCCUAUCAACUUUCGAUGUUAAUAUCUGCGCCUACCAUGGUGACCAACGUAGAAUCAGGGUUCGAUUCUGGAGAGGGAGCCUUGGAAAUGGCCACCACAUCCAAAGAAGGCAACACGCGCUCAAAUUACCCACUCCUGACGCGGGGAGGUAGUGA